UACGAAGGGGGCUAGCGUUGCUCGGAAUGACUGGGCGUAAAGGGCGCGUAGGCGGAUGGCACAGUCAGAUGUGAAAUUCCCGGGCUUAACCUGGGGGCUACAUUUGAUACGUGUUGUCUUGAGUUCGGAAGAGGGUCGUGGAAUUCCCAGUGUAGAGGUGAAAUUCGUAGAUAUUGGGAAGAACACCGGUGGCGAAGGCGGCGACCUGGUCCGACACUGACGCUGAGGCGCGAAAGCGUGGGGAGCAAACAGG
rnacentral:rRNA from 1 species